rnacentral:misc_RNA from 1 species
AUAUAUAUAUCAACCUUCUUUUGUUGAAUGGUUUGGAUGUGGGGGUUUGCUGGCCUCUUAAAAAGGGUUCAGCUCCCCUGAAAUGCAUUAGCAGAAUGACCUGUUCAUUGGUGUGAUAACUAUCUACGCUAUUGAAUGAGGGGCAGUUCAGCUUUCUAACGGUCCUUGGGACAAUUCAUCAUUA